UACGUAGGUGGCAAGCGUUACUCGGAAUCACUAGGCGUAAAGCGCAGGUAGGCGGUUUGAUAAGUCUGUUGUGAAAGCUCCCGGCUUAACUGGGAGAGGUCAACGGAAACUGUCAGGCUAGAGUGUGGUAGAGGUAGCUGGAAUUCCCGGUGUAGCGGUGAAAUGCGCAGAUAUCAGGAGGAACACCGGUGGCGAAGGCGGAUCUCUGGGCCUUACCUGACGCUCAGGUGCGAAAGCUAGGGGAGCGAACAGG
rnacentral:rRNA from 1 species